CCAAGAGAUCUUCUCCAAGGAGUGAAAAUUAGGUCUGGCCGCCCUCUUUUGUCAAAAGAAUGAAUCUCAAGUCGUAACAGGGCUAUUUAUAACUGAGGAGCGUCACAGAAAACAGGCCCAAGCCCAGCAGACAACCGCCCGGCGUCACACUGAUGCCGCCCGACGGUUUGCCCGUAAUCGCACCACCGCCCAGCGGUGGGGGGUUGCC
rnacentral:lncRNA from 1 species